rnacentral:rRNA from 1 species
AGGACGAACGCUGGCGGCGUGCUUAACACAUGCAAGUCGAACGGAAAGGCCCGCUUGCGGGUACUCGAGUGGCGAACGGGUGAGUAACACGUGGGCAACCUGCCCUCAGCUCUGGGAUAACUCCGGGAAACCGGUGCUAAUACUGGAUAUCGACUUCUGCUCGCAUGGGUGGUUGUUGAAAGUUUUCGGCUGGGGAUGGGCCCGCGGCCUAUCAGCUUGUUGGUGGGGUGAUGGCCUACCAAGGCGACGACGGGUA